GCGAGUGAAGCGGUAAAAGCUCAAAUUUGAAAUCUAGCGUCUUUGGCGUUCGAGUUGUAAUUUGAAGAUGGUAAUCUUGGAUAUAGUCUUCGGCUAUGUUCCUUGGAACAGGACGUCACAGAGGGUGAGAAUCCCGUGUGCUGAGGUGCCUAUAUCCAUGUAAGAUGCUAUCGAAGAGUCGAGUUGUUUGGGAAUGCAGCUCUAAGUGGGUGGUAAAUUCCAUCUAAAGCUAAAUAUUGGCGAGAGACCGAUAGCGAACAAGUACAGUGAUGGAAAGAUGAAAAGAACUUUGAAAAGAGAGUGAAAAAGUACGUGAAAUUGUUGAAAGGGAAGGGCAUGAGGUCAGACUUGGUAUUAAGCGAUCAUUUCCUCUCGGGGUUGUGCUCUCGCUUUUUACUGGGCCAGCAUCAGUUUGGACGGUAAGAUAAUGACAUUGGAAUGUGGCUUUCUUCGGGAAGUGUUAUAGCCCUUGUUGAUGUUACCAGUCUGGACUGAGGACCGCGCAUUAUUGCUAGGAUGCUGGCGUAAUGGCCUUAUGCCGCCC
rnacentral:rRNA from 1 species